UCCUACGGGAGGCAGCAGUGGGGAAUCUUGGACAAUGGGCGCAAGCCUGAUCCAGCCAUGCCGCGUGAGUGAUGAAGGCCCUAGGGUCGUAAAGCUCUUUCGCCAGGGAUGAUAAUGACAGUACCUGGUAAAGAAACCCCGGCUAACUCCGUGCCAGCAGCCGCGGUAAUACGGAGGGGGUUAGCGUUGUUCGGAAUUACUGGGCGUAAAGCGCGCGUAGGCGGACUAGAAAGUUGGGGGUGAAAUCCCGGAGCUCAACUCCGGAACUGCCUCCAAAACUCCUAGUCUAGAGUUCGAGAGAGGUGAGUGGAAUUCCGAGUGUAGAGGUGAAAUUCGUAGAUAUUCGGAGGAACACCAGUGGCGAAGGCGGCUCACUGGCUCGAUACUGACGCUGAGGUGCGAAAGUGUGGGGAGCAAACAGGAUUAGAUACCCUGGUAGUCCACACCGUAAACGAUGAAUGCCAGACGUCGGGUAGCAUGCUAUUCGGUGUCACACCUAACGGAUUAAGCAUUCCGCCUGGGGAGUACGGUCGCAAGAUUAAAACUCAAAUGAAUUGACGG
rnacentral:rRNA from 1 species